rnacentral:rRNA from 1 species
GUGCCAGCAGCCGCGGUAAUACGGAGGGUGCAAGCGUUAGUCGGAAUUACUGGGCGUAAAGGGUGCGUAGGUUGGGAUAUAAGUUAGAUGUGAAAUACCGUUGCUCAACAACGGCCGUGCAUCUAAAACUGUAUUUCUAGAGGGAAAGCGGAGAAAACGGAAUUCCAUGUGUAGCGGUGAAAUGCGUAGAUAUAUGGAAGAACACCUGUGGCGAAAGCGGUUUUCUAGCUACCCCCUGACACUGAGGCACGAAAGCAAGGGGAGCAAACAGGAUUAGAUACCCUGGUAGUCCUUGCCUUAAACUAUGUAUACUUGGUGUAGUUGGGCUCAACCCUGACUGUACCGUAGCGAACGCGUUAAGUAUACCGCCUGGGGAGUACGCUCGCAAGGGUAAA